CUAUAGGCGUCGCCUUUUUGAUUUUUUUAAAUUUAAAAAAGCCUUGAUUUAAUAAUUAAAAAGAAAUAUUAGGGUUUAUUUGGAAUUUUGGGUUUUCCGCGAUCUAGACUGCCUUUUUUUCUCUCCAGUUGCAGCGUGACCUUCUUCUCGAACUCGCGACCCCUUCUCCAGUUUGCACUUCGCAGAUAGUGAUUUCAAUGGCGUUUGACAUUGGAUGAAAUUAUGGCAUGCAAGGACCAACAAAAGAUCCAGUUAUAUGUAUGUUUUGUAAAGUUACUUAUAAUGGUGGUAUUGCUCGACACAAACAACAUUUGAUGGGUGGAAACAAAAAUAUAAAACAUGUCCAAGUUGUUCAGAGGAAGUUAGAGAAGAAAUAAGGGCUUAUGUGCAAAAUAAAGUCGCGUGUAAUCCGAAAUUUCAGGUGAGCAGCAAGAACCACCUGUGGUUGAUAUUGAUGAUGAUGAUGAUGAUAUGGAUGACUAUGGUGAAAUGAUGCCUCCCUCAAAAACUCAAAAGAUAUCUUCUAGUGGAAGUGCAUUAUCGACGGGGCGGAAUGUGACGAAAGGUCCUCUUAAUCUCUAUUUUUCACAAAAAUCACAACCAAAGGGAGGCUUUGAAAAGGGAGCAGGAUUUGAUGAAACCAAGAAAAUUCUAAGGGAUCACGCGGUAAGUGCUUUUGUAUUAUGGAUGUACGAUGCGGGGCUUACUUUUAAUUGUGUUAAUUACAAAUCAUUUGAUAAAUUCAUUGAGGUAGUAGAACAACAUGGCUCCGGAAUUAAGCCUCCUACCUUCCAUGAAGUAAGAGUUACUCACCUAAAACAAGAGGUGAAGAAAGUGGACAAAAUUGUUGAUGAGCAUAAAGUCCAAUGGACUAAGUUUGGAUGUUCCAUUAUGAUGGAUGGCACGAAAUGGUAAAAUGGUCAUCAAUAUUUUUGUGAAUUCUCCCAUCGGUAGUGUAUUUCUUGGUUCCAUUGAUGCUAGCAAUGAAUCUACUGAUUCUAUCAAAAUGUAUAACUUGUUCAAGAACACUAUUAAAAGAAUCGGACCGGAAAAUAUUGUACAAGUUGUCACCGAUAAUGCUAGUGAGAAUGUUAAAGCAGGAAGCAUGAUGAUGGGUGUGUACCCACACAUUUAUUGGACUCCAUGUGCUACUUAUUGCAUCAAUUUGAUGUUUGGUGACAUAUUCAAGAUUAACCCAUAUGCUUCAGUUUUUAAGAAGGCCAUCAAGAUCCAUUCUUACAUUAGUCAAAGGCUGUUGUUGUUGAACUUGAUGAGAAAAUUCACCAACGAAAGAAAUUUGGUGAAACCGGCCAAGACAGGAUUUGCAACGGCCUACUUGACUUUGAGAGCUAUGUACAGUCAAAAGAAAAAAUUGAGAAUUCUAAUCCUCUCAACUGAAUGGACUUCAAGUAGAUUUGCAAAGAAAACUUUGGGAAAAGAUGUUGCCAACCUUCUUAUUUUUGCCCACAUUUGGAAUGAUGUUGUUCGGGCACUUAAAGUUUGUGGUCCUUUGACAACAGUUCUUCGUUUGAUGGAUGGGGAGAAAAAACCACCAACGGAUUAUAUUUAUGAAGCAAUGGAUAGAGCCAAGGAAACUAUUGAGCGGGCCUUUAGUGGAGUUAAGAAGCAAUAUGAGAAAGUGUUUGAAAUCAUUGCUGGAAGGUGGAUUGACCAACUCCAUCGACCUUUGCAUGCUGCAGGCCAUAUUUUGAACCCAGGAUUGUUUUAUAAAGCUCAUGAAGAUGGCAUAUACAUCAAGAUGUGUGGAUGGGUUAUCAUGCAUGUGUUGAAAAGAUGAACCCCGAUAUAACAACAAAAGAUUUACUAGUCGCUGAGCUUCCUAGGUACAUAAAUGUUGAUCGACUGUUUGGUUGUGGUCAGGCUCAAAGAGCCAAAGACACAAGGUCACCGGUUGAAUGGUGGUCACUAUUUGGUAGUCAAACUCCAAACUUGCAAAAGCUUGCCAUGAAAGUGUUAAGUCUAACUUGUAGCUCAUCCGGAUGUGAGCAAAAUUGGAGUGUGUUUGAACAUGUAAGAAGAAUAUUUUUAUAUCCUAAUAUCCAUAUUAUAUUAUUAUUAGUAUUUGUUAGCUAAUAUCUACCACUUAUGUGCAAAUUCAUUCUAAAAAGAGAAAUAGGUUUGCACUAUUGCGUCUCAAUGAUUUAGUGUACAUUAAGUACAAUAGAACAUUGAAACGUCGUUAUGAUGCUCGUGAUACCAUUAAUGCAAUUGCCUUGGAUUAUAUUAAUGAGUCAAAUGAAUGGUUGGUUGGAUGCCCCGAAGAUCAAGAAGAUGAACUAGUAUAUGAGGAAGGUGAUCUUACUUGGGGUACUGUUGCUACGACAAUUGGAGCUGACAAGAGUAUUUGUGGUCUUAGGGGAAUUCCUUCAAGAUCAAGGAGACUUGACAAGGGCAAAGGAGUACAAACUACAUCUACAAGUUCAAGUAGGACUUGAACACUAAUUGAUGAAUCUGAGGAAGAAGAUGAGGAGCAAUAUAAUCAUAUAAUGACAUGGAUAUUGAUCUUCAAGAUUUUGAUAAUCUUGAAGAAGAAUAGACUUUGAGUUCUAGUAUUGUUUGUCAAUUGUCUUAUGAA